rnacentral:tmRNA from 1 species
GGCCUCGAUUUCCACAGCCGGGCAGCCUAUAUCGGGAGCGUCGUCCUCGGACGACUAUGGCGAUAAACGGUACGUGGAAUAAGCGUUGCGGACCCGGGGGCAGUACCCGGCGUCUCCACCAUGCCCCUCGGGGCGCUGUGGGGACGACACAGGCUCGACGCGCGCGGUAAAGACGUAUCUUUUGCCCGGCAUUGUACCGCCGUUAUCGGGCUAAAUCACAAGUGCCAACGAUAACAGCCGCGAGGCUGUGGCGCUCGCUGCCUAAUAGGUAAGCGCGGUCCGGGGGGAACCGGGCAACAGAAUCCCCCCACU